CACUUCACUUUGAAGGCCUCUGGGAAUCUUUAGACUGCGCCCUCCACACUGCCCUGUUUCCAACAGUGCCAGUGGCAAUGGAGAUCUGAUUUCACUGACCCUUGUCAGCCUUGGGUGUAAUCCCAAAGCUCUCAAUUCACAAAAUCGUAAAGAUGAAAGCAUUUCAACGUCUCAGACUGGAAACUGCUCUCGCAGCUGGGCCUCUCCAGAAUGUAUUACUAGCUGUCUGUAUGUCUGAGAUCGUUGCUCGGUCUCCACUCUACAGUUUCACAUCAGAAUGGGUCUACAGAAGCGCGUGGAGAACAAAGGAGUCUGCAGCCUCUACACUCCAGGGUCAGGAGUGUCUCCCGCUGUCUCUCA